UAUGGACGGUGUUAGCGUUAAUCGGAAUUACUGGGCGUAAAGCGCACGCAGGCGGUCUGUCAAGUCGGAUGUGAAAUCACCGGGCUCAACCUGGGAACUGCAUUCGAAACUGGCAGGCUUGAGUCUCGUAGAGGGGGGUAGAAUUCCAGGUGUAGCGGUGAAAUGCGUAGAGAUCUGGAGGAAUACCGGUGGCGAAGGCGGCCCCCUGGACGAAGACUGACGCUCAGGAGCGAAGGCGUGGGGGGCAAACAGGAUUAGAUACCCGCGUAGUCC
rnacentral:rRNA from 1 species